GACGUAGGGCGCGAGCGUUGUCCGGAUUUAUUGGGCGUAAAGAGCUCGUAGGCGGCUCGUUGCGUCGGCUGUGAAAACCCACAGCUUAACUGUGGGCCUGCAGCCGAUACGGGCGAGCUAGAGUUCGGUAGGGGAGACUGGAAUUCCUGAUGUAGCGGUGAAAUGCGCAGAUAUCAGGAGGAACACCGGUGGCGAAGGCGGGUCUCUGGGCCGAUACUGACGCUGAGGAGCGAAAGCGUGGGGAGCGAACAGG
rnacentral:rRNA from 1 species